rnacentral:tRNA from 1 species
GGCCCCGUAGCUCAGCUGGAUAGAGCAUCCCCCUCCUAAGGGGAAGGUCGCACGUUCGAAUCGUGCCGGGGUCG